rnacentral:rRNA from 1 species
UACAGAGGUCUCAAGCGUUGUUCGGAUUCAUUGGGCGUAAAGGGUGCGUAGGCGGCGGGGUAAGUCAGGUGUGAAAUCUCGGGGCUCAACUCCGAAACUGCAUUUGAUACUGCCUUGCUAGAGUACUGGAGAGGAGAUUGGAAUUACGGUGUAGCAGUGAAAUGCGUAGAUAUCGUAAGGAAGACCAGUGGCGAAGGCGAAUCUCUGGACAGUAACUGACGCUGAGGCACGAAGGCUAGGGGAGCAAACGGG